GGUUAGAGAGCACAGCACGGGAUCAUAAAUGUGUGCUGUGCACGAGACGACUGAGCCACUGACCAGAGGUUUCCUGAUGUUACCAGAGCCUCAAGAACAGCAAAGAAUUGGGAGCAACUUUGAAAGACUUGGUUGCGUCAUGUGAAGUUGUGGCCUUGGUCCGGAGAGGCACGACAUGGAAAGUCGCCCCACAACGAAGUCUGACAGUCAGCUGUCCUGUCAAACACUGUGGACGAACAUUAAAUAUCACCUGGUGUAAAGUCCUCCAGUCAAACUGUGAACAGCUGAAUAAAACAGAGAACGUAGAACUAAGACAGAAUCACAACCAAGCUAAUGAUCAACUAGUAUCUUAUUUGAGUUUCAAGCAGAUUUCCAUUUAUGAUGACGGUCUCUACAGAUGUAAGUUUAUAGGAGACAAACUUGGAGAAUUUAGUCAUUCCAUCAAGAUCUCAGUUUCAGACAAAUACCAGGGUGUUGAAAUGCCUAAAUUUGAAGCAGUCAAGAUAUCGAGCACUGAUGGUGAGGAUGAUUAUUCCUGGCUGCCGUAUUUCUGCAUCCCUGUGAGCAUAGUUCUCCUGAUUGUCACACUGACAGUGAUAACGAUGCUGAAAUUUUACGGCUGGAGGCGAAUACUGACCAUCAACCACACAAAAGGAGAGGAGAUGCCCACUCAUAUGAUACCAGACUUCCCCAAAUGGACCCAUUCUUUCUCUCCUGUCCUACGAAGCAGUGUCUGUACUGUGAAUGACAUCUACUCAUCAACUAGUCCAGAAACCCCAAAAUCGUCACCUGCCCUGUCACCCACUGGAGACCAGCCCGCUGUUUCAAACACAGCAGAUAAAAGCCAACCGUCAGCCUCUGCAGUGUACGCUGUCA
ensembl:lncRNA